rnacentral:tRNA from 3 species
AACAAAGAAGUAAAAAAUUUACUUUUAGUUUCGACCUAAAUAUAGAGUUUAUACUCCAUGUUU